rnacentral:rRNA from 1 species
GACGAACGCUGGCGGCGUGCUUAACACAUGCAAGUCGAACGGAAAGGCCCUGCUUUUGUGGGGUGCUCGAGUGGCGAACGGGUGAGUAACACGUGAGUAACCUGCCCUUGACUUUGGGAUAACUUCAGGAAACUGGGGCUAAUACCGGAUAGGAGCUCCUGCUGCAUGGUGGGGGUUGGAAAGUUUCGGCGGUUGGGGAUGGACUCGCGGCUUAUCAGCUUGUUGGUGGGGUAGUGGCUUACCAAGGCUUUGACGGGUAGCCGGCCUGAGAGGGUGACCGGCCACAUUGGGACUGAGAUACGGCCCAGACUCCUACGGGAGGCAGCAGUGGGGAAUAUUGCACAAUGGGCGGAAGCCUGAUGCAGCAACGCCGCGUGCGGGAUGACGGCCUUCGGGUUGUAAACCGCUUUCGCCUGUGACGAAGCGUGAGUGACGGUAAUGGGUAAAGAAGCACCGGCUAACUACGUGCCAGCAGCCGCGGUGAUACGUAGGGUGCGAGCGUUGUCCGGAUUUAUUGGGCGUAAGGGCUCGUAGGUGGUUGAUCGCGUCGGAAGUGUAAUCUUGGGGCUUAACCCUGAGCGUGCUUUCGAUACGGGUUGACUUGAGGAAGGUAGGGGAGAAUGGAAUUCCUGGUGGAGCGGUGGAAUGCGCAGAUAUCAGGAGGAACACCAGUGGCGAAGGCGGUUCUCUGGGCCUUUCCUGACGCUGAGGAGCGAAAGCGUGGGGAGCGAACAGGCUUAGAUACCCUGGUAGUCCACGCUGUAAACGGUGGGUACUAGGUGUGGGGUCCAUUCCACGGGUUCCGUGCCGUAGCUAACGCUUUAAGUACCCCGCCUGGGGAGUACGGCCGCAAGGCUAAAACUCAAAGGAAUUGACGGGGCCCCGCACAAGCGGCGGAGCAUGCGGAUUAAUUCGAUGCAACGCGUAGAACCUUACCUGGGUUUGACAUGGAUCGGGAGUGCUCAGAGAUGGGUGUGCCUCUUUUGGGGUCGGUUCACAGGUGGUGCAUGGCUGUCGUCAGCUCGUGUCGUGAGAUGUUGGGUUAAGUCCCGCAACGAGCGCAACCCUUGUUCACUGUUGCCAGCACGUUAUGGUGGGGACUCAGUGGAGACCGCCGGGGUCAACUCGGAGGAAGGUGGGGAUGACGUCAAGUCGUCAUGCCCCUUAUGUCCAGGGCUUCACGCAUGCUACAAUGGCUGGUACAGAGAGUGGCGAGCCUGUGAGGGUGAGCGAAUCUCGGAAAGCCGGUCUCAGUUCGGAUUGGGGUCUGCAACUCGACCUCAUGAAGUCGGAGUCGCUAGUAAUCGCAGAUCAGCAACGCUGCGGUGAAUACGUUCCCGGG